rnacentral:rRNA from 1 species
AGCGAACGCUGGCGGUAGGCCUAACACGUGCAAGUCGAACGGCAGCACAGUAAGAGCUUGCUCUUACGGGUGGCGAGUGGCGGACGGGUGAGGAAUACAUCGGAAUCUACUUUUUCGUGGGGGAUAACGUAGGGAAACUUACGCUAAUACCGCAUACGACCUACGGGUGAAAGCAGGGGAUCUUCGGACCUUGCGCGAUUGAAUGAGCCGAUGUCGGAUUAGCUAGUUGGCGGGGUAAAGGCCCACCAAGGCGACGAUCCGUAGCUGGUCUGAGAGGAUGAUCAGCCACACUGGAACUGAGACACGGUCCAGACUCCUACGGGAGGCAGCAGUGGGGAAUAUUGGACAAUGGGCGCAAGCCUGAUCCAGCCAUACCGCGUGGGUGAAGAAGGCCUUCGGGUUGUAAAGCCCUUUUGUUGGGAAAGAAAAGCAGCAGGUUAAUACCCCGCUGUUCUGACGGUACCCAAAGAAUAAGCACCGGCUAACUUCGUG